UGCGGACGCGUUCGGGGGAGGAUGCGAACCGGACAGAGGUUCGACGAAGGCGCGCAGCGCCGGAGAACGCCGUGCGUGCGCGGCGGCCCGAAGGGCGUAACGCCGGAGGCGUGGAGUAAUCCUCCCCCCUCCACCA
rnacentral:sRNA from 1 species